CACUCACCAGCUGACUGGCAGGUCUCAUUUUAGUGUCCAGUGUGACGACUCUGAAAUGCACUGGGAGAAAUGCAGAGAGACUUCAUGAAGCUUUUACAGCUCUUCUACAGCAGAGUUUGGCUGCACUUCGCUGCAGAAUCAAAAGGCCGCAGCUCGCUGAACUCUGGAGCGGCCGCUACAGCUUUUCAUAGACUUUGCAUGGCAGCUUGCCGCAGGCCGCACUUUGGCGCUGCUUUUAAGCUGAAGAAGACACACAGGGUCCAUGUCCACAUCUGAAGCCCAGGACGACCCAUGACUGAUCGAGAUGAUCCUGAGUGGAACUAUCCAGAGUCAGCAUCUCAUAAAUCGCCUCUGAUAGAGAAACCCACC